rnacentral:lncRNA from 1 species
UGACAUUCGAUUGAGAGUGUUCUGUGUUCCAUUUGUUUAUGUUUUUAUUCUUUGUUUAUAUAAUUUAUAACCUAGACAGUUUUGUUUUUAAAUAAAACUGAAACUGUGUCUAAACUGGUCUAAACUGGUCUAAACCAAUGCUAAACUAAAAUGGAUAAUAUUCUUGAAGAAUUUUUGUUUGGGGACGAAAUUAGCAAAUGCCGUUAUACAUUUAGCAGAUGUACCUACCUCAAAUUAUUCCAGAAGGAUGAGAUGAAAUUAAAUAUAUAUAAACCAUAAUUCAAUAUCCAAUUUAGAGAACAUUUUCCUAUGUCCAGAACUACUUUCCAGGAACUAUUUAAUUGUAUUGGUCAUAUCCACCAAUUUGAAAACAGAAUAAUUCUAUUGGAAAAAAAUUAAUGUUUAUGAUUUGGAUGCUAAGUAAACCAGAGAAUUUGUUGCUGGGGAUAUGUUUGGUUUGCCAAAGAGCUCUGGACAUAAGAUUUUCACCCAAAUAAUAUAGAAUUACAAAAAAUUGGAAAUAACUAAUCUUGAAUAUCAAUGUGUAUAUUGAGUUUAAUUUUAUUGUAAAUAUUCUAUAAUAUAAUUUUAUUGUAAAUAUUGUAUUAACCCAUUUGUGGACACAUCUUCAUAUGCAGACAGUAAUUUCCCUUUGUAAGUACAUGCAUAUAUAGUCGUAUCUGCGAAUGGGUUAAUUGUAAAUCGUAAUCAAUAAAAAUUUUUUGUGAAUCAAUAAAAAACUGGUUUGUUUGAAAAUAAAUGUAGUACAAAUGUG